AGUGAACGCUGGCGGUAGGCCUAACACAUGCAAGUCGAACGGCAGCACAGUAAGAGCUUGCUCUUACGGGUGGCGAGUGGCGGACGGGUGAGGAAUACAUCGGAAUCUACUUUUUCGUGGGGGAUAACGUAGGGAAACUUACGCUAAUACCGCAUACGACCUACGGGUGAAAGCAGGGGAUCUUCGGACCUUGCGCGAUUGAAUGAGCCGAUGUCGGAUUAGCUAGUUGGCGGGAUAAAGGCCCACCAAGGCGACGAUCCGUAGCUGGUCUGAGAGGAUGAUCAGCCACACUGGAACUGAGACACGGUCCAGACUCCUACGGGAGGCAGCAGUGGGGAAUAUUGGACAAUGGGCGCAAGCCUGAUCCAGCCAUACCGCGUGGGUGAAGAAGCCUUCGGGUUGUAAAGCCCUUUUGUUGGGAAAGAAAAGCAGCAGGUUAAUACCCCGCUGUUCUGACGGUACCCAAAGAAUAAGCACCGGCUAACUUCGUG
rnacentral:rRNA from 1 species